rnacentral:lncRNA from 1 species
CACAUUCAUGGCCACCUACACCAUCCCUUUGCAUGCCCCAAGCGAGCCAGAGACCCGGAACAGAUCAGGGGGGGGACAAUUAAUCAGAGCAGAAAGGACUUUAUUCAGCUGGAAUUCCUUCCACGGCUGCACCACUGAGAACAAAUUAGCAGUUCACACGUUGCAAUUGGCCUUUUCUGUGGACGUGGAGUUUGGACUACGGGCACCUUUGAGGGAACCUGCACCUUUCCCUUGCCCGGGGGUGUUACCAGGGGUUGACUGGGCUGUUGAAAGCCGUUCUGCCUCCCUGCAAAACAUUUCGGGAGAUGAGAGCUUAUCUGGAGAAACCUAAGCCCUUCAAUUCACACCUGCUCCCAAUUUUGGAUGAGUGCCUUUUCCCCACCUUUUCCUAGCCGCUGUCUGUGUGUCCGGCCAGUGAGGGGGUGAAUGGACGGGCCAUCAGCAGGGCAUCCCUAGAACAAUGAUAUCAAUCAAGGGACCAAGGGAGGGGACUCCGGACGCUGAUGGUGCUCAGGGAUUUCAUUCAUGGGCAGUGACUGCUAAUUGCUUUCACAACUGAUAGAUACCUGCGAUCCAGCUCCUCCCAGAGGACAGGGCUCUGGUGAGCGUGCUAAGCACACAUUCCUCACCGUGAAACACAGCGAUCUAGAGCCAUUAUUUCCCAUCAGCUCCUCCCUGCAAACCCUUUCCCAGGCGAAGGACCAAUUUCCCUGCGCUCUGCAACACAUGACUAACGCUGUCAUCUGCCCUGAGGGAGUUACAGGCUUCUCUUGAGAUGCUCAGGACCGAUGAGGAGCUGGAGUGGAUGGUCCUUACCUCCCUGAUGGCUGAGCUUUGGCAGCUCCCACAAUGGUGAAGCAGACAGACCUCCACCCUGCAAACACCUCGCCCAACAAAAGUUCAGAAGGACUGGGCAGAGGAAUCAGGGCUGCCCGGGGGUGCUGAGCCACGCUGGGAGGUGCUGGAGCUGUCUGAGGCACAGGGACAGCCCUUGGAUGGUGCCCAGAGGCACAGAAGGCUCUGUGCUCCUGGGAUUGCUGCUCUGGUGGCAGCUACCUCAUGCACCAAACCUGACACCUGUGACAGGGAUGUGGGGAUGAAACACGGCCCUUCCUGCUCACUGCAGGUGUGGGAGCACCGAGCCUGCCACGCUGCCACAGCCAGACCAGCCAAGGGCACUGGGGACCAGGGGCUGGUGCCACUUGAU